AUUCUCUUAGUAUAAUAAGUACAGUUGACUUCCAAUCAACUAGUUCCGGCAACAAGACCGGAAAGGAAUA
rnacentral:tRNA from 1 species